AGUGAACGCUGGCGGUAGGCCUAACACAUGCAAGUCGAACGGCAGCACAGUAAGAGCUUGCUCUUACGGGUGGCGAGUGGCGGACGGGUGAGGAAUACAUCGGAAUCUACUUUUUCGUGGGGGAUAAGGUAGGGAAACUUACGCUAAUACCGCAUACGACCUACGGGUGAAAGCAGGGGAUCUUCGGCCCUUGCGCGAUUGAAUGAGCCGAUGUCGGAUUAGCUAGUUGGCGGGGUAAAGGCCCACCAAGGCGACGAUCCGUAGCUGGUCUGAGUGGAUGAUCAGCCACACUGGAACUGAGACACGGUCCAGACUCCUACGGGAGGCAGCAGUGGGGAAUAUUGGACAAUGGGCGCAAGCCUGAUCCAGCCAUACCGCGUGGGUGAAGAAGGCCUUCGGGUUGUAAAGCCCUUUUGUUGGGAAAGAAAAGCAGCAGGUUAAUACCCCGCUGUUCUGACGGUACCCAAAGAAUAAGCACCGGCUAACUUCGUG
rnacentral:rRNA from 1 species